GAGGAAUAUUGGUCAAUGGGCGCAAGCCUGAACCAGCCAAGUAGCGUGCAGGAAGACGGCCCUAUGGGUUGUAAACUGCUUUUGUAUGGGGAUAAAGUCAAUCACGUGUGAUUGUUUGCAGGUACCAUACGAAUAAGGACCGGCUAAUUCCGUGCCAGCAGCCGCGGUAAUACGGAAGGUCCAGGCGUUAUCCGGAUUUAUUGGGUUUAAAGGGAGCGUAGGCUGGAGAUUAAGUGUGUUGUGAAAUGUAGACGCUCAACGUCUGACUUGCAGCGCAUACUGGUUUCCUUGAGUACGCACAACGUUGGCGGAAUUCGUCGUGUAGCGGUGAAAUGCUUAGAUAUGACGAAGAACUCCGAUUGCGAAGGCAGCUGACGGGAGCGCAACUGACGCUGAAGCUCGAAGGUGCGGGUAUCGAACAGGAUUAGAUACCCUGGUAGUCCGCACAGUAAACGAUGGAUGCCCGCUGUUGGUACCUAGUAUCAGCGGCUAAGCGAAAGCAUUAAGCAUCCCACCUGGGGAGUACGCCGGCAACGGUG
rnacentral:rRNA from 1 species